ACCCGCUGAACUUAAGCAUAUCAGUAAGCGGAGGAAAAGAAACUAACUAGGAUUCCCUGAGUAGCGGCGAGCGAAAGGGGAGAAGCCCAGCGCCGAAGCCCGCGGCCUCUGGCCGCCGUGCAAUGUGGCGUUUCGGUGACGGCUCGUCGCCUCGACUCUGGCAUGCGUACCUCUGAAAGGGUCUGCCCGCAGUGGGUGUCAGGCCUCUACUUGCCGAAAUGAGUCGGGUGUGGCCCGCCGUCAUCGCGGAGUCGGGUUGCUUGAGAGUGCAGCCCAAAGUGGGUGGUAAGCUCCAUCUAAGGCUAAAUACCUAGUGCGAGACCGAUAGCAAACAAGUACCGUGAGGGAAAGUUGCAAAGAACUUUGAAAAGAGAGUUCAAGAGUACGUGAAACCGUUCAGAGGUAAACGGACGGAACUGGGCGAUUUCGUCGUCGUCAUUCAGCUGUCACACGUCGUCAAACGCGUGACGGUGCACUUGGCGGCGACGGAGCGCGACGACCGCCUGUCGAGUUGUCAGAAGCCCGGCGGCAAGGUAGCGACGCGUUCGCGCGUCGUGUUACAGGCCGUCGGUGCGUCGACCGACUCGGCGGGCGAGGAGCGCCUGCGGUGCACUCGCUGCGCGCCUCUCUCUCGGGAGGGGAACGCGGCGAGCGACCCGUCUCGGUGGGCUUGCGGACGCCGGCGGCGAACUGCUUGCAGUUCGUCGUCGCGCGCUCCGUCUGUCACGCCGAGCGGUGUCGCGCGGUACGCAGGGUCCGAGUCGCGUGGUUCCCGGCACUCCGUCCGACCCGUCUUGAAACACGGACCAAGGAGUUGAGCACGCGCGCGAGUCGAUGGGCUCUCCGAACCCCAGUGGCGUAGCUAAGGCAAAACGGGCGUGAUCCUGGCACCGCGUGUGUCGGGCGCAACGCCGGCCCGCAGCUAACUCGUUGCGAGUGGCUGCGGCGCAAGAGCGCGCGUGCUCAGACCCGAAAGGUGGUGAACUAUGCUUGAGCAGGGCGAAGCCAGAGGAAACUCUGGUGGAGGCUCGCAGCGAUCCUGACGUGCAAAUCGGUCGUCAAACUUGAGCAUAGGGGCGAAAGACUAAUCGAACCGCCUAGUAGCUGGUUCCCUCCGAAGUUUCCCUCAGGAUAGCUGGCACUCGGAAACGAUGGUUUUAUCCGGUAAAGCGAAUGAUCAGAGGCAUUGGGGACGAAACGUCCUCAACCUAUUCUCAAACUUUAAAUGGGUAAGAAGCGCGGCCCUUCCUAAUCGGGGCCGCGUAAAUCGAUAGAACAGAGAGUGCCCAGUGGGCCGUUUUUGGUAAGCAGAACUGGCGCUGUGGGAUGAACCAAACGCGCGGUUAGGGUGCCUAACCGCACGCUCAUGAGACACCACAAAAGGUGUUGGUUGAUAUAGACAGCAGGACGGUGGCCAUGGAAGUCGGAAUCCGCUAAGGAGUGUGUAACAACUCACCUGCCGAAUCAACUAGCCCUGAAAAUGGAUGGCGCUAGAGCGUGCGACCCAUACCGCGCCGUCGGGGCAAUGCGUGCGAAAUGCCAGGCCCCGAUGAGUAGGAGGGCAUGUCGGUGGCGUGGAAGCGUUGUGCGCGAGCACGCGUGGAGCCGCCUUCAGUGCAGAUCUUGGUGGUAGUAGCAAGUAUACAAAUGAGAACUUUGUAGACCGAAGUGGAGAAGGGUUCCAUGUGAACAGCAGUUGGACAUGGGUCAGUCGGCCCUAAGAGAUCGGAAAAUUCCGUUCUGAACGGGGGAGAGGGCGCAAACAAAAACAUGCAAAUCAAUGCCUCGACGUCUGAUCGCGGUCAAUGCACCAGAGCGUCUUUAUUAUAUCAUGAGGCACCAGACAAGUGCGUCGCGUCCCCCGAUGCGAUCGAAAGGGAAUCGGGUUAAUAUUCCCGAACCUGGCAGCGGAGAUUGGGCCUUCGGGCCCCAGUGCGGUAACGCAACCGAACUCGGAGACGCCAGCGUCGAUCCCGGGAAGAGUUCUCUUUUCUUUGUUAGGAGCGGACUCCCUGGAAUUGGCUUGUCCAGAGAUAGGGACGUUGCAUCCGUAAAGCGUCGCGCCUCACGCGGCGUCCGGUGCAUCGGCGUUGGCCCUUGAAAAUCCGAGGAAGGCAGUGUAAUUUUCGCUCCAGGCCGUACCCGAAUCCGCAGCAGGUCUCCAAGGUGAACAGCCUCUGGUCGAUAGAACAAUGUAGGUAAGGGAAGUCGGCAAAUCCGAUCCGUAACUUCGGGAUAAGGAUUGGCUCUGAGGUGCGGGCUGUUUCGGGUCGCGGCAAGAAGCGGACCGCGCGUUGGUAGGACUGGACGCGCUCGUCGCGUUCGGACCGCCGCCAGCGCGCGUCCGUGGGAGGCCGUGGCUUUCGCCGGCGUCGGCCUCGUGUCGGCGUCGGCUUCGUUCGGCCUAAACGCACAGCACAGAACUGGCACGGACUCUGGGAACACGACUGUCUAAUUAAAACAAAGCAUCGCGAUGGCCGCUGGUCGGUGUUGACGCGAU
rnacentral:rRNA from 1 species